AUUGAACGCUGGCGGCAGGCCUUACACAUGCAAGUCGAGCGGUAACAGGCCGCUUGCUCCUGGCUUCUGCCGCACACGGGUGUGAUACGCCUAGGCAUGCGCCUGGGUGUGGGGGAAAUAGUCCGGAAACGGGCGCUUAUACCGCAUACGCUCUGGGGGAGAAAGUGGGGGCUCAUCGCACCUCACGCUAUCAGCUGCGCCUAUGUCGGAUUAGAUAGUUGGUGGGGUAAAGGCAUACCAAGGCGACGAUCCGUAACUGGUCUGAGAGGAUGAACAGCCACACUGGGACUGAGACACGGCCCAGACUCCUACGGGAGGCAGCAGUGGGGAAUAUUGGACAAUGGGCGCAAGCCUGAUCCAGCCAUGCCGCGUGUAGGAAGAAGGUCUUCGGGUUGUAAAGUGCUUUAGGAUGGAAGGAAACGGAUUUAGUUAAUACCUGGCGGUAAUGACGUUACCGUCAGAAUAAGCACCGGCUAACUUCGUG
rnacentral:rRNA from 1 species